rnacentral:lncRNA from 1 species
CUAUGAUUGAUUACUGUUAGUGGCUAUGGAUUGAGAGAUUAAAUGUGAUUGAUUGCGGUAACAAUUUAUUUGAUUUGAAUGAAUCAUCUGUUUUCAGUUGUAGCUGAUUAGGUAUUGGUAAAAUAGUGUUUUAUAGCCGAUGAUAGUGUCAAAAGAUGUUAGCUUUAUCAUUGUUCUUAUCGUAGUUGUUGUUAUAAAUGAAGCAUGAACUGGACAUGACACACACUGACACAUAGAAAGGAGUUUCAGAAAAUAAUCAUAGAGAUAGUUAUGUAUAUCGAUGCUUAACAUCAGACAGACUACCUGAAGAUUACUAUUUUGGCGGCAUUCCUCAUAGAUUUAUAUCUUCGGCUAACAACAUAACUAACUUUAGAGCAAAAGCUUAACUCGGUUCUUUCUGGGAGCUAGUUUCACAGUUUCAACUAGGAAGAAUUGCAUAUAAACUGGACAAAAUAUAAAUAUUGCUAUUGAAACCUGAAACAAGUAAGCUAUAAUUAAGAUUCAUAACCUAAUAAGAGGGUGAGUAAAGUAUUGGUAAUUCACCAGCUCCUCAACAUAAAGAGAAGAAUAUGCAGACUAUGAAAAAGAGGGUGAAUAGAGUCAUUGGUGAAAGGAUACCGAUUGAAUUCGAUGUAUGAACCAAAACGCCUUUAGGGGAAUACAGAAGAAAAAUUCAAAAGUCAUGUGGGUUCCAUUGCUAGAAGCAAAGUUAGUAUUUUGGUGAAUCAUUGGGAUCUUAUAAGCGGACUAUUAAAGACCAGAUUUGAGAAGAUAUCAUGGUAUUACUAUUUACGAUUGUCAGUUGUAACACUUAAUUAUAUUAUUUCCGUACACUAACUCUUUUAUCUGCUAUAUAACACAGGAACAAUGGGAUAUUCCAAAUAAUACUCAUGAUAUUUAUAAAUUGAAAGACAAAUGGCUAUCCUAUGCGUGUGAACGCAGGAGGAUCCUUCCAUUCUACUUUGUUGGACUUUAAGAAUAAUUAGUUUAUCAAUUAAAUUUAUUUAUAGUAUUUCUGUUAAUUAUUGUGUGUUAUUUAUAACAGGAGAAAAGAAAUAGGGGGAAAUUGAUUCAGGCUCAUAAUAGAUGCCCCCACAGCUUGUCUCGUGGAGGAUAUGAGUUGCUUGAAGAAAAGAUGAUGCAGGAGAAAAUAAAACAAAGACAAGAAUCAAUUGAAGACUCAUAGCUGCACCUCCAUCCCCACCAACACGCCAUGAGAAGUGGAUAAGGGCACGACAAAAGUCAUCAGGAGAGUACAUGUCAGAAGAAACACGUUGUAUCGCCGAUAAAAUCGUAAGUAAAAUGCAACUCUUUAGAUAAAUGCUAAGAUGUAUAACUGUUAAAGUUAUUGGUAUUAUGUUUUUCCCCAGUUUUGUUAAGGUGCAUGUGUUUGUUACGGUGCAUUCUGCUUCAUCAAUCCCUAUAUGAUCUGAUGAUCAUGAAAUUACAUAGGUAGUUAGGUACAUACAUCAGUUUGGAAUUUAGCAUGAAAUUAUGAGUGUGGCUACUUUAUAAUGAUACAUAUGUUGAACAUUGUACAGCUGGUAUUGUAGACUUAUGGGAUAUGGUGUGUAAUUAAAUAUUACAAUAAUGUGUUUCUUAUGUUUUUUUAAAGUUAAUUUGAUAUUAUAAUAUGUUAUCAUUUUUUUUUUCCAGAUUUUUGGAGACAAAGAUCUGUUUACUGAUGAUGAAAUGAAAAAUGUUCAAGAACGCUGUGCAAG